AUUUUAUGGCUGGGAAAAAUGUAAACUUACAUUUUCAGCAGACCAGAGAUGAUAAAGUAUGUGUUUGUCAAAUAAAAUUCUUUACUGUGAUAAAGUAAAUCAUUCUUUGGCCUUGUGAAAAAUUAGGCCUCACUUGAACUGUUUUCACUUGGGCCUUUGCUAAUAUUUCUGUUAUCUCCAUUAGGGAUUACCAUGACAAAUGCCUUUUAUUCGCUUCGUUAAGCACUUGGGUGAAUGUGUGAACACACAGAGCUUCAUAAGUCACAAGGAAAUGAAACAAUGUGGUCUUCUGGAAAUAGUUUGAGAGCCUGACAGACUAGGACUAGCAUCUGGCUCUUCCACUUAGGAACUACAUCACUCUUGUGCAUGCUUUGUUUCUUCCCAAGGCUGAUCUCACACCACCAAAGUGAUGUUCUUGAGUGUGGAGUUAUAAAGAGAUACAGAGAUCCAUAUGAAUGACUUCCUGAAAGUAAUGUUCAACAAAUCCUUGGUGGGUGGUGAUGCUCUGAAGACAUGUGGGAAGGAUACAGGACAGAGAGGAAUUUCUGCUUCUCCAUGGCUUGGGUUGAUCCCUCAGCUCCUUCAGGCCAGUGUUCAAAUGUUAUCCCAGUACCCACUCCCCCAACACUGUUUCCAGCAUCACCCACACAUGCCUUUGCAGCUGGCUCUGUCCCCCGCUGUACCACUCCACUCUUGGCACUCAGCACAGCAGACAUACUAUGGACUGUCUUGCUUUUACUGCCCCCUCCCCUACUGAAGUUUCCCACUGUGUUCCCUCCCCAUGGUUGCCUAAUGUGUUCAUUGCUGUCCUCAGGAUCCAACUCUGCUUGGCACCUAGAAGGUGCCUGACAGACACUCUUUGAACAAUCAAGCCCCAUUGCAUGUGCAAGCCUACAAUUACUAGUUUGUUUUCUCCCCUUUGUGGAUAUAGCUAUCCCUUGGUAUCCAUGGAGAUUAGGUCCAGGACUUCCU